CUUGGUGAGUAUAGCUAUGGGGGUACACCUAGUUACAUUCCGAACCUAGAAGUUAAGCCCAUAUACGCUGAUGGUACUUGGCUGGAAGUGGCCUGGGAGAGUAUGGAUUUGCCAAGC
rfam:Fusobacterium nucleatum subsp. nucleatum ATCC 25586, complete genome.